CAAAAUUUGGACCACAAGGUUUUGUAAAGUGCCCAAGGAUAUAGUUCAUCUGGGGCAGGUGACUUGACUACAUCAAGGACAAGGAAAUGCUCAUUUAUUGUCUCUUUUCCUUGAGUUUCAACUCUCCAUUGGUCAUUUUUGAUUUGUCACUCCCAGAGGAAAUGCCAUUCUUCUGAAUAGAAACAAAAGGAGCAAGGAGGCUAUUUCAAUUGUCUGAGUGAGAGGUGAAGAGGAUCUGAACUUGGGCAGUGGCUGUUCAAGUGGAGAAAAGAAUAUGGAGAUGACUGCAGAGCUACUGCAGCCAGCUCUAAUGAGUUUGUGAGUACUUGACUGUUAAAUUUUCAGUGUGAGCAUCU